rnacentral:rRNA from 1 species
UACGGGGGGUGCGAGCGUUGUCCGGAAUCACUGGGCGUAAAGGGCGCGUAGGUGGUUUGAUAAGGGUGUGGUGAAAGUCCGGAGCUCAACUCCGGAUCUGCCGUGCCGACUGUCAAACUCGAGGGCUGUAGAGGCAGACGGAAUUCCGGGUGUAGCGGUGGAAUGCGUAGAGAUCCGGAGGAAGACCGGUGGCGAAGGCGGUCUGCUGGGCAGUUCUGACACUGAGGCGCGACAGCGUGGGGGAGCAAACAGG